CAGCGAAGGAAGUCUCACAUCUGUUGUGCAUCACAGCCUGACUGAUCAACAUCAACAUCAUGAAGGGCUUCAUUGUAAUGGUAUUGACUGCUGCUGUUUUGCUGACUGUUACUGCUAAGAAUUCCCGGGAAAGAGGAGGAAGAGGAGAAGGAAGAGGAGGAGGAAGAGGAGGAGGAAGAAGCAAUGAAGACCGUCGUUCCUGCAUUGGAAAACUGUGCGGCCGUAACAACGUAACAUGUCUGAACUGUGUCGACAACCUGAACGUGACGCGUUCUGUCCUCUUGAACUGUGUGCGUCGUUCAGGU